GAGGGUAUAGCUCAAGUGGCAGAGCACAUGCACGAGGUCCUGGGUUCAAUUCCCAGUGCCUCCU
rnacentral:tRNA from 1 species